UCUCGGGCUUUUCAUCAGCUUAUCGGCCCACUUAGCCAGGGCAAAGGUGCAUGACAACCCUGCGCAAGUCAAAACAACCGUCAGCGGCGGGAAACCUCGAUGAACAAACACCGGGAGAGUGCAUUCCCAGGUGAGUUCCAGGAGGCCCAUGGCCCCUCCUGUACAGCCCUCCACCGCCCAGAGCCUUCCAGCGCCAUGUCUUCCCCUUGGAGCAUCUGGAGGCCCCAGACAGCACCUGCCUGACGUUCAGCAGAAGGGGAGACCGAGGCCUGCAGCAGGGUGUUUUGUCAGAUGCUGCUCCCUGACAGGGAAGUGAGAGGUAACCCACCUAGAG
rnacentral:lncRNA from 1 species